rnacentral:rRNA from 1 species
GAUGAACGCUGGCGGCGUGCCUAAUACAUGCAAGUCGAGCGAACGGACGAGAAGCUUGCUUCUCUGAUGUUAGCGGCGGACGGGUGAGUAACACGUGGAUAACCUACCUAUAAGACUGGGAUAACUUCGGGAAACCGGAGCUAAUACCGGAUGAUAUUUUGAACCGCAUGGUUCAAAAGUGAAAGACGGUCUUGCUGUCACUUAUAGAUGGAUCCGCGCUGCAUUAGCUAGUUGGUAAGGUAACGGCUUACCAAGGCAACGAUGCAUAGCCGACCUGAGAGGGUGAUCGGCCACACUGGAACUGAGACACGGUCCAGACUCCUACGGGAGGCAGCAGUAGGGAAUCUUCCGCAAUGGGCGAAAGCCUGACGGAGCAACGCCGCGUGAGUGAUGAAGGUCUUCGGAUCGUAAAACUCUGUUAUUAGGGAAGAACAUAUGUGUAAGUAACUGUGCACAUCUUGAUGAUACCUAAUCAGAAAGCCACGGCUAACUACGUG